AGAGUUUGAUCCUGGCUCAGAAUCAACGCUGGCGGCGCGCUUAACACAUGCAAGUCGAACGAGAAAGCAGGGGCAACCCUGUGAGUACAGUGGCGUACGGGUGAGUAACACGUGGAUGAUCUACCCUGGAGUGGGGAAUAACGCUGGGAAACCGGCGCCAAUACCGCAUAAUCCCGAGAGGGCAAAGGAGCAAUUCGCUUCAGGAGGAGUCCGCGGCCGAUUAGCUUGUUGGCAGGGUAAAAGCCUACCAAGGCAACGAUCGGUAGCCGGCCUGAGAGGGCACACGGCCACACUGGCACUGAAACACGGGCCAGACUCCUACGGGAGGCAGCAGUGGGGAAUCUUGCACAAUGGGGGCAACCCUGAUGCAGCGACGCCGCGUGAGCGAUGAAGCCCUUCGGGGUGUAAAGCUCUUUCGGCAGGGAAGAUUAUGACGGUACCUGCAGAAGCAGCUGCGGCUAACUACGUGCCAGCAGCCGCGGUAAUACGUAGGCAGCAAGCGUUGUUCGGAGUUACUGGGCGUAAAGGGUGUGUAGGCGGCCUUCUAAGUUUGGUGUGAAAUCUCCCGGCUCAACCGGGAGGGUGCGCCGAAGACUGGGGGGCUAGAGUGUGGGAUGGGAGAGUAGAAUUCCCGGUGUAGCGGUGAAAUGCGUAGAUAUCGGGAGGAAUACCUGUGGUGUAGACGGCUCUCUGGACCAUAACUGACGCUGAGACACGAAAGCGUGGGUAGCAAACAGGAUUAGAUACCCUGGUAGUCC
rnacentral:rRNA from 1 species